UGAGUAACACGUGAGUAACCUGCCCUUGACUCUGGGAUAAGCCUGGGAAACUGGGUCUAAUACCGGAUAUGACUCCUCAUCGCAUGGUGGGGGGUGGAAAGCUUUUGUGGUUUUGGAUGGACUCGCGGCCUAUCAGCUUGUUGGUGAGGUAAUGGCUCACCAAGGCGACGACGGGUAGCCGGCCUGAGAGGGUGACCGGCCACACUGGGACUGAGACACGGCCCAGACUCCUACGGGAGGCAGCAGUGGGGAAUAUUGCACAAUGGGCGCAAGCCUGAUGCAGCGACGCCGCGUGAGGGAUGACGGCCUUCGGGUUGUAAACCUCUUUCAGUAGGGAAGAAGCGAAAGUGACGGUACCUGCAGAAGAAGCGCCGGCUA
rnacentral:rRNA from 1 species